GUUGGGUUAAGUCCCGCAACGAGCGCAACCCUCGCCUUCAGUUGCCAUCAUUCAGUUGGGCACUCUGAAGGAACUGCCGGUGACAAGCCGGAGGAAGGUGGGGAUGACGUCAAGUCCUCAUGGCCCUUACAGGUGGGGCUACACACGUGCUACAAUGGCGACCACAGAGGGGAGCGACCCUGCGAGGGGCAGCCAAUCUCGAAAAGUCGUCUCAGUUCGGAUUGCAGGCUGAAACUCGCCUACAUGAAGUUGGAGUUGCUAGUAAUCGCGAAUCAGAAUGUCGCGGUGAAUGCGUUCCCGGGUCUU
rnacentral:rRNA from 1 species